rnacentral:rRNA from 1 species
UACGUAGGUGGCAAGCGUUAUCCGGAUUUAUUGGGCGUAAAGAGAACGCAGGCGGUCUUUUAAGUCUGAUGUGAAAGCCUUCGGCUUAACCGGAGUAGUGCAUUGGAAGCUGGGAGACUUGAGUGCAGAAGAGGAGAGUGGAACUCCAUGUGUAGCGGUGAAAUGCGUAGAUAUAUGGAAGAACACCAGUGGCGAAAGCGGCUCUCUGGUCUGUAACUGACGCUGAGGUUCGAAAGCGUGGGUAGCAAACAGG